rnacentral:rRNA from 1 species
UGGGGAAUCUUGGGCAAUGGGCGAAAGCCUGACCCAGCGACGCCGCGUGGGGGAAGAAGGCCUUCGGGUCGUAAACCCCUGUUCUGGGGGAAGAACCCUGAGUGGGUUAAGAGCCCAUUCAGGCUGACGGUACCCCAGGAGCAAGCCACGGCUAACUGCGUGCCAGCAGCCGCGGUAAUACGCAGGUGGCGAGCGUUGCCCGGAAUCACUGGGCGUAAAGGGUGCGUAGGCGGCAGGGUAAGUCGCAGGUUAAAGCCCGGGGCUCAACCCCGGAAAGGCCUGCGAUACUGCCUUGCUUGAGGGCCGGAGAGGCUGGCGGAAUUCCCGGUGUAGGGGUGAAAUCCGUAGAUAUCGGGAGGAACACCGGUGGGGAAGCCGGCCAGCUGGACGGUCCCUGACGCUGAGGCACGAAAGCGUGGGGAGCAAACCGGAUUAGAUACCCGGGUAGUCCACGCCGUAAACGAUGGGUGCUAGGUCUGGGGAGGAAACUCUCUGGGCCGAAGCUAACGCGUUAAGCACCCCGCCUGGGGAGUACGGCCGCAAGGCUG